rnacentral:tRNA from 1 species
ACCUGGCUGGCUCAGUUGGUGGAGCAUGUGACUCUUGAUCUCAGGGUGGUGAGUUCGAGCCCCACAAUGGGUA